rnacentral:rRNA from 1 species
AACGAACGCUGGCGGCAUGCCUAACACAUGCAAGUCGAACGAGAUCUUCGGGUCUAGUGGCGCACGGGUGCGUAACGCGUGGGAAUCUGCCCUUUGGUUCGGAAUAACAGUUGGAAACGACUGCUAAUACCGGAUGAUGACGAAAGUCCAAAGAUUUAUCGCCAGAGGAUGAGCCCGCGUAGGAUUAGCUAGUUGGUGUGGUAAAGGCGCACCAAGGCGACGAUCCUUAGCUGGUCUGAGAGGAUGAUCAGCCACACUGGGACUGAGACACGGCCCAGACUCCUACGGGAGGCAGCAGUGGGGAAUAUUGGACAAUGGCGAAAGCCUGAUCCAGCAAUGCCGCGUGAGUGAUGAAGGCCUUAGGGUUGUAAAGCUCUUUUACCCGGGAUGAUAAUGACAGUACCGGGAGAAUAAGCUCCGGCUAACUCCGUGCCAGCCGCCGCGGCAA